rfam:Paracoccidioides sp. &apos;lutzii&apos; Pb01 unplaced genomic scaffold supercont2.2, whole genome shotgun sequence.
GGGGGUAUGGCCGAGUGGUCUAAGGCGCUGCAUUUAAGUUUUAAUGAGAAACUGCAGUGAACGAAAGUUCGCGCGCGUUCGAACCGCGCUGCCCCCA